GAAAACAGAUGAAAACAACCUUUAUCAUUUUCGUUUUCAUAUUUU
rnacentral:snoRNA from 1 species